rnacentral:rRNA from 1 species
UUAAAUGGCUGCAGUAAUUUGACUGUACAAAGGUAGCAUAAUCAUUAGUUUUUUAAUUAAAAGCUUGAAUGAAAGGUUGGACGAAGUAAAAUCUGUCUCUUUUUAAUAUAAUUAGAAUUUAAUUUUUAAGUUAAAAAGCUUAAAUUUUUGUAAAAGACGAGAAGACCCUAUAGAGUUUAAUAAUUUUUUAAAAGUGAUUAUUUAGAUUUAUUAUUUUUAUUUUUUAAAAUAUUAUUUUAUUGGGGUAAUAAUAAGAUUUAAAUAAUUCUUUUUUUUUAACCAUUAAUUUAUGAAAUAUAUGAUCCAUUUUUUAUGAUUAUAAGAUUAAAUUACCUUAGGGAUAACAGCGUAAUUUUUUUGGAAAGUUCUUAUUGAUAAAAAAGUUUGCGACCUCGAUGUUGGAUUAAAGAUUAAUUUAGGUGUAGAA